rnacentral:tRNA from 1 species
GGAAAAGUGGCUGAGCGGUUUAAAGCUUCAGCUUGCUAAGCUGACUCUUAAUACUUAAGACGCAGGUUCGAAUCCUGUCUUUUCCG